rnacentral:rRNA from 1 species
GAUGAACGCUGACAGAAUGCUUAACACAUGCAAGUCUUUGGCGAAGCUGUGCUUGCACAGCCUAGCCAAGGCGGACGGGUGAGUAACGCGUAAGGAACUUGCCCUGCAGUCAGGGAUAACAGACGGAAACGACUGAUAAGACCUGGUAAAGUCAGGCGGACUCAUGUCCAGCCUGAUGAAAAGAGAUGCUGCAGGAGAGCCUUGCGUCCUAUUAGCUUGUUGGUGGGGUAACGGCCCACCAAGGCGAUGAUAGGUAGCCGGCCUGAGAGGGUGGACGGCCACAAGGGGAGUGAGAUACGGCACUUACUCCUACGGGAGGCCGCAGUGGGGAAUAUUGGACAAUGGGGGCAACCCUGAUCCAGCAAUUCUGUGUGCACGAUGAAGGUUUUCGGAUUGUAAAGUGCUUUCAGCAGGGAAGAAAAAAAUGACGGUACCUGCAGAAGAAGCGACGGCUAAAUACGUG